CCGCCAGGGGGCGCCCGCGGACGGCCCACGUGGCAGCGGUCGCAGAGGGGCGGAGCCGCUCAGUCGGAGCUCUCCGAAUCAGGGCCACUAUCCGGUGUGGGUGGGAGCAGGGGCCGUCUGCGAGACCGCUUGAUCCGGCGCGAAGGCAAAGGCAGCCUCCGUUUCAGGAGAGCUGUGGGAAGGUGAGAAGUCAAGGGCAAGGAAUUCCAGCCAUUGGGCGCACCAGAAAGGGGGAGGGGGGCUCUUCUCACCAGCCACGGUGUCCUGGCUGUCUGCCGUGGGCCCCCAAUAGAUACUCUCGCUCCUGCGGAAAUUCCGGUGCAGUCGCGUGCAAAGUGUGGCCAAGGUCCCCCAGUCGUUAAGGAGACCGGGGCCACAGAUGAGGUUCCCAAAGUCAACUGCUGGGCCUUCAGGCUCUGUGAAGAGGCCAAGGAAACCCUCAGGCCUGGGGGCGUGGAUUGGAGACCAAGGGCAGCCCGGAGACCCCUUCUCUUCACAACACUGAUCGAGGACCGCCCGGAUCCUCUAGAUGUCACCUGUGCACCAGGAGGUCGCCAGCUCCGUAGAGCAAAGGCCAGAGUCGGGGCCUAAGGAGAAUAGAAAAGGACUCAGCCCCUACUCUCUAUUAACCCAAUAUUCUUGCCAGCAAGCCUGGUCCCAGCACCCCUCACCUGUACACACCGUCUCCCACACAGCUUCCCUCUUCUGGAGGCUGGCAUCGUGGGAGUGGGCCCAAAAAGAUUGUCAGAGAGAAACCACACACUCUUUCUCUGCUUCCGCCGCCGCUGCCUCUUCAGCCAGUGGGCAACCCAGGCUGGCUCUAUCCAUGCCAGCUCCAGUGCAGUCCCCCAUGCUGUCAGCAC
rnacentral:lncRNA from 1 species